GACGAACGCUGGCGGCGUGCCUAACACAUGCAAGUCGAGCGAAGUAUAUCUGAGGGAAAUUUUCGGAUGGAACUUAGAUAUAUCUUAGCGGCGGACGGGUGAGUAACGCGUGAGCAACCUGCCUUUCACAAAGGGAUAGCCUCGGGAAACUGGGAUUAAUACCAUAUAAAACUUGUCUUUCGCAUGAAAGAAAAGUCAAAGCGAAUAAGCGGUGAAAGAUGGGCUCGCGUCCUAUUAGCUAGUUGGUGAGGUAACGGCUCACCAAGGCGACGAUAGGUAGCCGGCCUGAGAGGGUGAACGGCCACACUGGAACUGAGACACGGUCCAGACUCCUACGGGAGGCAGCAGUGGGGGAUAUUGCACAAUGGAGGAAACUCUGAUGCAGCGACGCCGCGUGAGUGAAGAGGCCUUCGGGUCGUAAAGCUCUGUCCUAGGGGAAGAUAAUGACGGUACCUAGGAGGAACGCCCGGACUAACGUACGUGCCAGCACGCCGACGGUAAAAGUACUACUACG
rnacentral:rRNA from 1 species